rnacentral:rRNA from 1 species
CCUACGGGGAGCAGCAGUGGGGAAUAUUGGACAAUGGGCGAAAGCCUGAUCCAGCCAUGCCGCGUGUGUGAAGAAGGCCUUCGGGUUGUAAAGCACUUUCAGUGGGGAAGAAAGCCUUGGGGCUAAUACCCUCGAGGAAGGACAUCACCCACAGAAGAAGCACCGGCUAACUCCGUGCCAGCAGCCGCGGUAAUACGGAGGGUGCGAGCGUUAAUCGGAUUUACUGGGCGUAAAGCGCGCGUAGGCGGUCUGAUAAGCCGGUUGUGAAAGCCCCGGGCUCAACCUGGGAACGGCAUCCGGAACUGUCAGGCUAGAGUGCAGGAGAGGAAGGUAGAAUUCCCGGUGUAGCGGUGAAAUGCGUAGAGAUCGGGAGGAAUACCAGUGGCGAAGGCGGCCUUCUGGACUGACACUGACGCUGAGGUGCGAAAGCGUGGGUAGCAAACAGGAUUAGAUACCCCUGUAGUC